UUUAUUAUUUUUUGGGUCUUGAAUUACUUUUAAUAAUUAUAAAUAUAUUUUACUUAGUUUCUAUUUUAUUGUUAAAUUAGCUUAAUUAGUACUCGGUAAUGCUAAAGGUAGUAAUUGCUCGAGAAGAAAACCGAAGCCCGUGGAUUCAUACGAGACACAAAACAAAUAUAAAGAUAUAAGGAGGAACAUUGUGAAGGGAAUUGAGCCCACUAACGAGCUUUCAUCCAAAUGAAGAAAACCCAACUACAGCAACACGUGGGAUGUAAGUGAAUAAUCCCACUACAUUCCAAAAUUAGUGGAGAAAGCCCAAUACCUAAAAAUCAAAUAUGUGGGUUGUUGGAGAACGAAAUCUUCAUACGAGCAGCAUUUUCUUUGCCUUCCUUCUCGGCGCAACAACAACAGAAUCACACUACCGAUCUUCUAGUUCCGAUAUCUCCGGUCAAAAACUAGGGUUUAUCUCAUAUAAAAUUGCAGCCCAACCCCUCAAAUACACAUACGGAGAUAGAGGACACAAAGGAGAACCAUAAAAUUUGUGAGUUGAGGGAUUAUAGUCGGAUCUGAAAUUGGGUAAUUGAUAAGGAGAAGGCAGCCAUUGGAGAGAGCUUAGUCUUGAAUCCAAGGUCAAGAAGGACGACGGCGAGUUGCGGGGUCGAAGCCGGAGCUAGCUUGGGUGUUCUUAGUCAGAAGAUAUAAUAAUGGAAAUAAAGGACUUUGGUACUGAUAAAACUUUCAAAGCAAAUGGUCACAUAUUAAAGCCUUUCUAUGAUCAAGCUUAUGUGCAGAUGAUCGAAGAUGUCACGUUUGAGAAAGUCUGACAAAGAAUUGAGAACGUCGAGCCAACGACUUAAACUAAAGGCGCUACUGGGAGGCAACCCACGAUUGUUUUCUUCUUUUGUUUUCUUUUUGAAAUUUAUUUCUCUUUACUGUUUUAAUUUUCUGCAAGUUCAUUUUAUUUUAGUUCACUCCACGGGUUAUGUUCCCCUGCAUUUUUUGUGCCCCUUCCCUUCACAUAACUACCCUAAGAUAAAGUAUCUUACAAGGAAGCAUGGAUAACUUACAAGUCUUAGAAUUGUAGUUCAAUAUUUGUUUUUAUGUUUGUCAUAGGGUUAGUCAUUCUUUAAUGAUUUAUUUAGUUUAUAUGCAGGAGUGAAACUCAGUUUUGUGGCAGAGCACGCUAUAAAAUAGCUUAACAAAUGCAUUAUUCUAACUCAACCAAAAACAAGCCAGGCAGAAAUACAUACAAUUGCUCCCCUUCUGGCCCAAUCAUUUGAGGUAUCAGACUGCUCAACGCCCAUAGUGUUCCAAUGAGUUGAAUUAAAUGAGACGAUAAAGUCAUCUUCCACCACCUACUACAUUAGUGAUUGGAAACCAGUCGGCAGCAACAUUUAAUCAACUAAUCAUCAGCAUCAGUGAAUUUAACCAGCUAAGUCCCAUCUUCCCUCUCUACCAUUUUUUAUUUUUUUUCCAUUGGGGCAAUGCAAGGUUUCAGUGUGGGGGGAGUUAGAAAUGGUCAUUUUUAAACGACAUGCUGUCAAAAUUUUUGUGGAAGUAUCUCUCUCAUAUUAAUCAAACUCAGUUGUGCUUGUGACAUAGGAAAAUAAAAGUUAGCUAUUUUGACAAUCCAAACCAAAUGCAUGACAAGUGAUUAAAAAAAAUGGUUUUUAUGGUUUUGUCACACACUAGCUUGCAUUGGAUCAAUAUGAAUGAUAUCUAAAGAUAACAUAAAUCCCUCUUUGACAUGGUUUGUGCUGCAUGGUUUCGCUUUCCCUCUGUGCGAUGAGACCCGAAAUAGAGGGCCACGAACCUCGUAAGACUCACUUCCUUACUUCUAUCCUUCUUAUUGAUUGCUCAAAUUGGGACUUGCAAUUUAGCUUUCCGAGAUCAAUGACCAAUGUGUAAAGGAGAAAUGAUUUAGGCAUUUUAUUUUUUUCAUAAUUAGAGCUUCCAGAGUAUUUAGGCCUUCUGUCAUUUAUAUAUUCACAAAAAUUUCAUUUGUUUAGCCCUGUUGAGCUUUAAUAACCUUUCUUGGCAAACCGUAAUUACAAGCAUGUGACCUCCAACAGAUUUUACCUUAAGUCUUGCUAAGUGGAGUCAUUAUUAUUGUUAGAAUUACAAGAGGGUUAGUUUAUUUUAAAAAAAAAAACGAAAGAAAAAAAAAAGAGUACGAAAAUCAAAACAAAGCAGCAAUAUAAUGAAGUACUAGUAUUCAAGGAAAUCUUAUUAUUGCAUUGAAUAAGGUUCAUAUGGAAAAAGGUGGAGGAUACGGUUAAACAAAGUAGUUGGGGUAUAGUAUUAGUUGUAAAAUUGGAGUUUCUUGUGAUCCGAAUGUUAUAUGUCAUGUAUUUUUGCUCCACUUAGCUUGAUUAUUUAUGCCACCACAUUUCUAAAUGAAUUUCCUACCCUUAACCCUAGCCCCGUUACAACCGUAUAAAAGUCCUGUUUGAUCUCCUAAGUACACUUUUGGUCCUUUAACGGUGGAGGGUAAGAUUUUGUGCAAGUCCUGGCGAGGGUCAUCAAAUUAAGUGAGGCAUGAGCUAAUACGGUUGCGCAUCUAUGAGGGAAGAUUCAAACUUAGGGGAAAGGAAGCGGUAAGAUAGGUUGGUCAACUAGGGUGCUAAACUCUUGUUCCUAUUGUUCAAUGAUCCAUGCUUGUUGGUAGUGAUAUGAAAUGUAUUUUGGAUUUCAUGAAAAUAAUCACUCUUCUCAUUGGUUUAGAUUGUCCAAAAUAACUGGGUUUUAUUUCCUUAUUGGCAUAGUACAACUUAGUGUUGUUUAUUUUGAUCGAGGACGACCAAAAGCUAAGUGUGGGGGAAUUUGAUAAGUGAAUUAUUUACCAUAUAUUUAUUCCCUUAUUUAAACCAUACAAUCAUCUUUUAUUUAUUAUUUUUUGGGUCUUGAAUUACUUUUAAUAAUUAUAAAUAUAUUUUUCUUAGUUUCUAUUUUAUUGUUAAAUUAGCUUAAUUAGUACUCGUUAAUGCUACAGGUAGUAAUUGCUCGAGAAGAAAACCGAAGCCCGUGGAUUCAUACGAGACACAAAACUAAUACAAAGAUAUAAGGAGGAACAUUGUGAAGGGAAUUGAGCCCACUAACUCUAGCUUUCAUCCAAAUGAAGAAAACCCAACUAAAGCAACACGUGGGAUGUAAGUGAAUAAUCCCACUACAUUCCAAAAUUAGUGGAGAAAGCCCAAUACCUAAAAAUCAAAUAUGUGGGUUGUUGGAGAACGAAAUCUUCUUACGAGCAGCAGUUUCUUUGCCUUCCUUCUCGACGCAACAACAACAGAAUCACACUACCGAUCUUCUAGUUCCGAUAUCUCCGGUCAAAAACUAGGGUUUAUCUCAUAUAAAAUUGCAGCCCAACCCCUCAAAUACACAUACGGAGAUAGAGGACACAAAGGAGAACCAUAAAAUUUGUGAGUUGAGGGAUUAUAGUCGGAUCUGAAAUUGGGUAAUUGAUAAGGAGAAGGCAGCCAUUGGAGAGAGCUUAGUCUUGAAUCCAAGGUCAAGAAGGACGACGGAGAGUUGCGGGGUCGAAGCCGGAGCUAGCUUGGGUGUUCUUAGUCAGAAGAUAUAAUAAGUUCUUCUUCUACUCAAUUACCCAAUCCCCAAUUUAAUUACUGUAUUAUUUUGUUGGACUAAAUUGUUUAAUUUGUUGGUAUGUAGUAUUGUUUGGUAUAAUAUAAUCUACAUGAGAUAAUCAUCAGAUUUAGUUUUGAA